GACGAACGCUGGCGGCGUGCUUAACACAUGCAAGUCGUACGGUAAGGCCCUUUCGGGGGUACACGAGUGGCGAACGGGUGAGUAACACGUGAGUAACCUGCCCACAACUUUGGGAUAACGCUAGGAAACUGGUGCUAAUACUGGAUAUGUGCUCCUGCUGCAUGGUGGGGGUUGGAAAGCUCCGGCGGUUGUGGAUGGACACGCGGCCUAUCAGCUUGUUGGUGGGGUAGUGGCCUACCAAGGCGGCGACGGGUAGCCGGCCUGAGAGGGUGACCGGCCACAUUGGGACUGAGAUACGGCCCAGACUCCUACGGGAGGCAGCAGUGGGGAAUAUUGCACAAUGGGCGCAAGCCUGAUGCAGCAACGCCGCGUGCGGGAUGACGGCCUUCGGGUUGUAAACCGCUUUCAGCAGGGACGAAGCUUUUUGUGACGGUACCCGCAGAAGAAGCACCGGCUAACUACGUG
rnacentral:rRNA from 1 species